rnacentral:misc_RNA from 1 species
AAGUUGUAACAAGGUCUCUGUUGGUGAACCAGCGGAGGGAUCAUUAUAGAGUUGCAAAACUCCUAUCACCAUUGCGAACUUACCUUACACCCGUUGCUUUGGCAGGCGGCCUUAGGCUUCUGUUUUCAUAGAUCCUUGGGGCCCUAUGGCCUGAUUGUCAGGUGCCUGCCAGAGGUCAUGCAACUAGACAUUGUUUAUGGCCUGUCAGAAUUUGUACUACCAAUUAGUCAAAACUUUCAACAACGGAUCUCUUGGUUCUG